UAAAAUCCCAAAUGAAAAAAUCCUUCAUAAGAUACACUCCAAUUUUUUCCCUUCUUUCGUAAGAUACCCUCUCGAACACACAAACGUCAAAACCUCACUGAAAAAUUAUCGUUGUGCCCUCUCUCUAAACCUUGCAAAAAAUUAUCUGUUUACCUCUGUGCACUCCUCCAUCUGCUGUCAUCUCACACCGCCGUGCUCCCCUUUGUCAUGCCAUCUCGCACCGCCGUGCUCCCCUUCGUCAUGCCAUGUCUCAUUCACCACUGGAUCGUCCACCAAGCCCUCUGUAAGUGUCCCUCGUCCUCUGUCCUGCCAUCUACAAUUGUUCAUCUUCUACUUCGUCGUCUAGUGCUUCAUCCCUUGCUUCGUUGUGCUACGUUCUAUGAUUCGUCUUAGUGCUCAUCUAGUGCUUCGUCGUUCCAUCCUACUAGUUUUAGAAAGGAGAUAUACAGUAAGUGGUUACCCUCGUGAAAAUUGCUUUUCGCCAUAUUUUUUUUCCAAUUCUGGGUGUUUCUUGAAUUUCUUUCUCUAUUUACUACAUCUAAAGCACACAUAGAGAGAAUGAUAUAAUUUGGCAACAAUUAGCCGGUUAAGGUUUAUUUUAAUCUUUGUGAGUCCACGACUAUGCUUAUCCAUAAGGUUUCAUCAUAUCUAAAAUGAAGCUUAAUGGUACGAAUGGGUUUGGUUUUGUUUCAAGCUUUUCCUGGUUUUGCUCCUCUUCUGACUCUAGGGGAAUAGCUAUUUUCUUGUUUUGUAUUUAUGUUUCCAAUUUCUUGUUGGUAUAUAAAAUUGAAAACAUUUCAUGAAAAUGAUAAGCGAGAAUGUUAAUAAUGGCAAUUGCAUAAUCUUUGUUCGAUUCCUAUUCCUACAGCUGUAGUAAAAAAAUGGGUACUUUUAAGUGUAAAAAUGGAAAAGCUCUGUAGAAAAAUUUGAGCCAAUCCAUAUAUGAAAUAUAGGUUCAAAAUGAUAUGUCAUAGUUUCUUAAAUUCGGGUGGAGUUGAAUGUUCUUUUUUCCUUCUUUUUAAACCCAGCAAUUGCGGGUUGGCAAUUGAACCAUUAACACUUCGAAAUAGUAAUUGGUGACGAUUCACGAAGCUAUACCCAGAUUGACAUUGGAGUUGGAUGUUUGGUAUAUGGCUAUAGGAAUUUAAUUAGUUCUCAUUAUCAUCUCCUUUUAUUUGAUGAAUUUGAUGACUUCUUCUUGGCUACAAUGUUUGGCCCUCAUGACAUUUAGCCUCAAGGGUCUUUUUAUUAUUACUAGAAAAUAUUAACUUUCGUUGCAUGUAUAUAAAUAACAUUGUUGGUUUUUUUUAGUAUAAUUGAGAGAAGGGAGGUUUGAACUACAAA